rnacentral:rRNA from 1 species
AAUAUUGGACAAUGGGCGAAAGCCUGAUCCAGCCAUGCCGCGUGUGUGAAGAAGGUCUUCGGAUUGUAAAGCACUUUAAGGUGGGAGGAAGGGGUUGAAGCUAAGCCCUUCAAUCUUUGACGUUACCAACAGAAUAACCACCGGCUAACUCUGUCCCAACAGCCGCGGUAAUACAGAGGGUGCAAGCGUUAAUCGGAAUUACUGGGCGUAAAGAGCGCGUAGGUGGUUCCGUAAGAUGGAAGGGAAAACCCCGGGCUGAACCUGGGAACUGGUUUCAUAAAUGCUGAGAUAGAGUACGGUAGGGGGUAGUGGAAUUUCCUUUGUAGCGGUGAAAUGCGUAGAUAUAGGAAGGAACACCAGUGGCGAAGGCGACUACCUGGACUGAUGCUGACACUGAGGUGCGAAAGCGUGGGGAGCAAACA